UCUUGUAAGCAUAUUAUUUACUAGUACAUAAGAUUAGAAACCAAUCUUCUCUCUAAAACAUACUAAGAAUUCCAAAAGGUAGAAGCAAGAAUGUCAAAGACCUCAACUUACUCCCAAAACAACUACUGAGCUUGUCCAUGCCUGUGUAUGGACAUGAUCAAGUCCCUGAAAACAAAAACAUGGGAAUACGAACUAGGCCAUAUCAUGAACAAAAUCGAUGAAAGUAUGGAACAUAGAAACCAACAGCUAAUUUCUUAAUAAAGAUGUUUUAUGGUUAGUAUGCUAAAUAUGUGAAACCAGAAAAUAGGUAUUAGUCAUUUACUUCCUAAGCACAGGUUGUCCAGAACACCAGAUGUGGGGUUAAUAUAGAUUCCAAAUAUCUUAAGAAGGUUAGCCAAAAGUAAAUAGGAAACAAGAAAUAAAGGAAACAAAUACCGUGGGACAUUUCAUACUUUUCAGUGUUCCCUAUGAUCCAGCACAAGGGUGAGCCACUAGAAGUGUUGCACGUUUUUGCUAGUUUGAACAUUGCCUAUAUAAUUCCGUGUACAGUGUUCCAGAGCACAUACAAGGACAACUAUUUGAAUAUGCACAUGCAAGUGAGUAUGUAGCGUUCAUGCACAUGAAAAGAGUCUAAACCAUGUUUGACCAUAUUCGGCCCAUGAAGCUCAGAAAAAAGCUGGAAAAAUAAAUUGACUGUGACAAUGAAAUCUUUCAAAAAGCAAUAAUUCUGCAUGAUUAGACAAUUACCAGGGUGUCCCCAUUCCCCAUCUGCAUAUUUAAGUCUGAUGGGAAGCAUUCCCUUUAGAAUACAUCAGAUAGUGAGCAACUGAGCAUAGAUUGCAUAACAUAAACCAGAGGUAAAACACUUUCUCAGUCUCUCAUGAUUGCGCCCCAAAAAACAUAUAUUGGUCAUAUUGUAUCAUGAACCAAUUUGGAUUGAUCAUACAUUAAUUAUUUUUGCGGAAGUUAAAGGUUGACUUUGUGUGGAAGAAGGUGAAGCCAUCCAUGUGCUCCUAGCUUAAAUAUGGAUGUAACCCAUAAUUUAGCACUACAUAAAAAGGAACAAAAAUGUUAAAGAAAAUAUGAGGGUAGAUCAUAGGUUAAACCAACAAUAGACUAGAACAUGAUCCAGAAGCUUCAGACGUGAAGACAUCAAACAACCAAUACACAUCAGAGCAUCACGUUAAAUAAAAUUAAUUGCAGAUCGAACACCAUGCAUUAUCAGAGUGAAGGAAUAAAUCUUCAGAAGAUAACAAUAAACAAAAAGAUAUGGAGGACCUUUAUAGUCCAAUAUUUUUUUGAAGAAAACUAAUAUACGUUCACAAAUCUUCAAAACCGUUUACAAAGAACAGGAGGAAACAACUGAAUUUAAGAAAAUGGUUUUUGACAAGUUACCACAAGUCAUCUUGCAUCACUACAUUUUUUGUUACAAUGGAACUCGCAGCCACUACUCUAUGGGUGUGCCAACCACUCAACGGGUAAUCUCAAAGUAUACUAUAUGGUGGCCUUUUGCGUAUGCCAUGAAAAGCACUUUUUACUAGGCUCACGACCGAUUCAACUAACCCUUGGGGGGGGGGGGGUAACAUGCAUCACUUAACGUCAAAAUACCAAUCAGCUAAUCAAAAUGAACUGCAACAAAAAUGGUCAAGUUUUAAAAAAGAUGAGCCACUUAUGCGAAGAUAUUAGCAUAAUUAACUUGAGACAACUCCAGGCAUCCUCUUUUCUUUUUGUAAUUUUUCUUUUAUAUUUGAGUUAAAUUAGGCUAUUAGUCAGUCUAACAAACAUACUUCUUAGUUUUUUACACUGAUGAUAGAAGCAAAAACUCGGGUUCAAAAAAAACUUAAAGUAACUAGAUAACCUUUUCUUGAAUUUUGAUGGGGUAAUUCACAGUAAACUCAUGUAGCUUGAAGUUGUAGGUUCAACAGUAGUUUGCAAAAAGAAGAAAGUUCGGUACAAAACGACAUUGAUAUUGAUCAACAAUAAGUUCCCUAAUGCUACGUUUGGAUUGAAUGAAUGGAAUGAUUCAUUCCAUUCCAGUUGGAAUGAGUUAUUCCAUACUCUCCCUCCCCCAAAGAAAAAAUUCAUAAAUUAGGGAGGAAUAAGAAUGGUUCAAUUCAUUCCAAUCGCAACCAAACACAAUUUUUUUCAUUCCAUAAGAAUGAAUUAUUCCAUUACUACCUUCAUUACUCUAAUCCAAAUGUAGCAUAAGACUUAUACCAUGACAGUGAAUCAAAAAUUGAAAUUUCAAAACUGUACAAGUUAACUGGGAAAUACAUACAACAUGAAAAAGAUAGAAGGUACAAUGAGUACGCAUACAGAGAAAAGAAAGUGGGGAAAACAAGCAAAAUAAUAAAGAAUGCUGGUUUACAGUCACUUCAAGCAUGCAUGAACAAAUCCCUUACAAAUCUUCAGAUGCUAAAACAGUUUUCAAGUAUAUAAUAUAAUGAAUCCAUUUUGAGCACAAAGGAUAGUACAUGAGAAGUCUGGUGUUCCAACAGUCCCUCGAGAGGACUGUUGAUAGAUGAAAAUCAUUAUGCAGAUGCACAUCUACGUACCUUGUUGAUGCCAGUUCUUUUAUCCUUGUGAAGAACAACCUCAACAUUAUUUUCAUGUCCUCCAAACAAGGAGUGAAUUUGACAUCAAAGAAGGAAUUAUUAAUACUAGUACAGAAAUAUAAAGUUCACAAGCACAGGUAACAGUGAGAAUAUUGAGGGCCAAAUUUUAAAUGCAUGUAACAUCAUUAUAUUAUCAUCUUUAUUUAAUUUAUAUAUCCUUCAUAAAUCACAUGAUUAUAUUUAUAACAAGCAAUGAUUAGAGAAGAUGCGAUGAUAAACUUGUGUGCAGUUUGCACAUGCUAGAUAUAGUGGAUGAAAGUUGUAGGAAAAACUACGCUGAUUAAUUAAGAAGAAAAUCAUAUAAUGCUGUUAUUAUCAGACAAACCGGUUAAUUUAUCACAUUGAAGGCAUUGAGAUACUACUAACAUCUUUCCCAUCCAAUUUAAAAGUUUCAACUCGGCAACAUUAUUGAGAUUCAGAUGAAAAACCUUGAAUGAAAAUUCCAAGUUAAUAACAAAUGGAGUAUCUAACAACGAAAUUGAAGUUAGAAUUAUGGUUAGUAUCUUUUGCCUUGUAAAAGUUAAUCAAAUUUAGAGCAAAGGCUACUAUCAUAUACCCUGUCCUUUCCAAAAUGAGGUUCUCAUCCCACUAUUAGAAAAUCAUAUACAUUUUUUUAAGUACUAAUUUAACAACUUACCUCAAUUUGUAAUAGCAGGUAACACUUCAGUCUGUGUCAAAAAUGUGGACUUUCUUUUUCAGGAUGUUUAAAUUAAAAAACAAUGGAGCUUCAUUUUGCUAUUGAGAGAGAGAGAGAGCAGUUGACCAAUCCGAGUCCGGAACAAAUCUAGGGACAAAUACCAAGUACGAACCAGGCUUCGUACCUCCGGCAACCCAAUCGGAGUCCGAAUCAAAUUAAAUCCAUGCCUUAAACCACUGGCCAAUAGUAUCUUCUUGAUAAUCUUAGUCCACCACAAAAAGGUUAUGACCGUAGGUAAUAUUGGUAGAAACUCAAUUCCUUAAUAUUCUUAGUAACUCAAUUCCUUAAAUAUAAGGACAAACUUUGUGUAUCGUUGGUAACUCAAUUCCUUGUAAUAUAUAUCUACACGUAUAUAAGGAAAUAAUUGAAAAAUAAAGAAUGCAAACCAGGAGAAAAUGCCUUUUCCGGUCACGGGAGCAAAAUAAUGACUGCAAACACUUUGGCCAAAAAAUCAGUUGUUCGGUUUGCUACUGUAAUUCUGGUGUUAGCGGUGGUGAUGAUGACGGCCUUUAUGGUGAUGUUGGUGGCUAUUGUCAUUUGUCGGAGUUCCUUUCGUGGUGAAUAAAGGUGUCAUCGGUGUUCCAGACGACGUCGCAGGGUGAUAGCUGCUAUUGGGGUCUCUAUGUUACUUCGACUUUGUGUUCGGGAAUAAAGUGCAAUUACACCGUG
rnacentral:lncRNA from 1 species